GGUCUUAUAGUGUAGUGGUUAUCACUCCGGAUUUUGAUGCUUGUCAAAAGUUCCGGCGACCCAGGUUCGAGCCCUGGUAAGACCU